GAUUACCUAUAAGGAAGAGAAAUUAAAUUUAAAUUAGUUGAAUUUGUGAUUAUUUAUGUUUUAUGUGCUCUUUUUAUGAUAUGAUAUCAACGGAUAUUUUACUUAAGGGGUUACAUUGGUUUUGUCGCAUAAAAAAUGACCUAUUUUCAAUAUUUUUUUUUCAUGUAAAAAAUUAUUUAUUUAAUUCAAGAUUUUUUUUGUCUUAUAGAUACAUAUUUAAAGAAUAAUUUCUGAAAUUUUCAAAAAAAAAUUAAAACUCCAUUGCGACGUCAUUUCCGAUGACCCCUUGGAAAAAAGAUGCUUCCGCGUUGUCAGCAUAACUCCUGAUAGGAUCAUCCAAAAUGAAGAAACAAAAAUAAGUGUUUUAGCUACUCAUUCAGCCGGAAUCAUGGCAACAGUUGGGCAUUCGAACAGUCUUGGUACCUCCGAAGACAGCACAUAACACCGUUAUUUUACAAUAUUGUUGCAAAAAAAAAAUCUUAAAAUAUAGCUUUGAGAGAAACAACAAACUUGACGAGAAUUGCAUGUAAAGCAUCAAAUACAGCAAAACCGGUAGAUAUCAACAACGAAUUAUUACAACAAUUUGCCAACAGCUAACAGAUAUCGCAGACAUUAAGUCGCUUUUGCCUUUUUCGUAAUGCCGUGAUAAGGUGGGUAUUAUUGAGUAACAACACAACAACAAACAAUCAACACCAAAUUGAUGAUGCCAAUACAUAAUAAAUAUAUAGAGAACCGCAAUAAAAUGUGGUAUUUAAAAAUAGAUAUGUGGCAAAAAUGGCACUUCUAUUGAAAACCAGCGAACGUAUAGAAAAACAAGUAAGGAAGCGCUAAAUGCGAGUGUAACCGAACUUUUUAUACUUUCGCAAUGUUUAGGGUUCGUUCGUUCGUUUUUAGAUGGACUUUUGAAUAGACUAGAAUCAAUCAAACUCUUACAGGAUUUCAACAAUUUAUGGCACCAAAACAACUAUAUCUCAAACAAGCUUUUUUUCAUAAAAGUGAAAAUGGCAUAAAUUCGCGAUGUUAUUGCUAGUUUUUAUGAAAUUUACUUCAGAUUGGAUAUGCCGGCGUCAUAGGUGUGAAAAUUCCCUUUCGUAUGACACCAAGAUCAUUAAAAACGGUUCAGAUUUACUCGAGUUAUGACCAUUCAAAAAGUUGUACUGCUCCACACUGAUCCGCUGCUCUGCCACUGCUCUUCCUGGUAGCGCAGCGCAGUUUUAUUGUGGUUUUUGCAAAGUUCCCAAAUGUCGAUUUAUACUAGGAUACCAGAAAUGUGCAGAUAUGUAUGUAUGCCAACAGAAAAUUGUUGCGUCAAAGGAAGUACUGUGCGUAGCGGAAAUGAUCAAAGAGGAAGUGAAACAACCGGAGCAGGAAAUACACAUGUCACCAACUUAAAUAGGAUGUAGAUCACAAGAAACGGAAGUCGGACAUAAGCGGAAGUUGGGUCACCGAUAUAUAUAUAUAUAUAUAUAUGUGGGUGAACGGAAGUACUGUGUACAACGGAAGUGACCAAAAAGGAAGCGAAACAAUCAGAACAGGAAAUUCAAAUGUCACCAACUCUGAUCGGAUCUCGAUCACCGGAAACGGAUGUUAGGUAACCGGAAAUAAAAUCUGUAAACGGAAAUAAAUUCUAAAGAAAAUGUCUAAGAUGCGGAAGUUGACAGUUUAACUGUCCAUGACAAACUUCCGUUUGGUUCAUAUCCGGUUUCCGGUAAGAGACUUCCGCUUUCUUUACUCAAUAACCUGUUAAAAUUGAUGGCAUGAGGAUUUCUGGUUCCGGUUGUUUUACUUCAUCUUUGAUCAUUUCCGUUGCACACAGUACUUUCUUUGACGCGCAUGUCAUAACUUGGGUAAAUCUGAACCGAUUUUGGUGUCAUACGGAAGGGAAUUUUCACACUUAUGAUACUAGCAUAUCAAACCUCAACCUCAUAAGACUUGCAAUAACACCGUUAUUUUUCGAAUUCUCACUUUGAAGAACAAGAGAGACGUGAAAGUUGAAAGACGCGUUUCUUUUUAAUUUCGUGUUUGUCAAAGUACCCAAUAGAACGUGUUCCAAGAGUUUAAAUAAUAAUAAAUUACAAAAUAAUAGAACCGGUUGAGAAGUGAUAAAGUGGCAGAGCUUUAAACGAAUUGAUAUUUAAAUGAAUGAAUGCAUGUAUAUUUGUGUGUGUAAAUUAUUGGCCAUUCAAUUACAGAAUAGUGAUGGAUUUGCAUUCUAUUUUAUCUCCAUUGUCUAAUAUGAGAAUUAUGAGAAGUCUAAAAUAAAUAGGUGCCUAAAGUACCUAAAGUAUAUACGUACGUAUAUGUCCAACGCGUGUUCGAAAGUAGUCAGCUAUUCAACCAAAAAAGGCAGAAGGAAGUGAAACCCACAUGCGAACAUUUAUUUUCCCAUUCAGAGCUUUAACUCACUGCGCGCUGUCAAUUGGUGUUCAUUUACUUUUUGAGCCAACAUCUGAGAGACUGUGGGCGGCUAAUUUACAGCAGCCAAAAGCGAUUGGGCUGGCAGCCAAUCAAAUGGCAAACCAUAUGGCAACUGCGGGCACUUAGAAAUAUAUAGUAUAUGUGUGAACAAGAAUAUGAAUAAAAAUCGGAGAAUAAAUCUCCGCUUGCAGCAGUGGCAAUGACAAUGGCAAUGGCAGUGCUAUAAAAGUUACUACAAAAUCAAUUUCUGUGCGCGUAAAAUACAGUUAAAUUUGCAUUUAUUUCUGCUUUCCGCAUGUGGCGUAUCAACGGUAGUGGUGCACGAACUGCUUUUGUAAAUAUGUAUAUACGAGUAGUUUGUGGUAUAAGUUUGGUUUAAGCUUUAAAAUAAGAUUAUAUUUAAGGAAACUUCGCUAGAUAUAAAAGAUUCUUAUAUCUCUGCUAGAUGCUUCUACUAUUCUAAUAUUUGUAAUAUACUUUAUAUCUUGAAGUCAUCUGUCAAUUAAGAAAAAUAAUGCUGAGGGCGACCUCUACUGGAAACUACUUUAUUUAAAGCUAUUAGAAAAAGGUGUAGGUCACUGGCUCAGCUUAGUAUCUGGUAUCUGUAAUUCAUACCAAACAUUACUGUCAAAUAUUUUUUGAUGUUCUCCAGUCGACUCGUCAACUUUGAGAUCAUGAAACAAUAACACUACCAAGAAUAUGUAUGCCAUAGGAAAAAAUUCUUAAAAGAAACUUACGGAACAGUUCCUUCCACCACAUGUACCAAAAUUCUACACUUUACAGACCACAAACUGACGACUUUUGUUCUAGAUUUAGAUCCGAAAUUCUAUGAAAUACUUUCAUGAAUGUAGAGCAUUGAUCGGCAGUGUUGUUAAGGGUUAUAAGCGUAGCUCAAGAUAGAUUAUAUAUGAACUUUUUGCUGACUCCGCGGGCAUUUUUAUUUUACAAAGGCUUAGUCUAACUUAUUUAGUGUUGUCAAGAUGUCGGUUUUCAAAAACUCAGAAAUUUAUCUCAUGCGAGACUGAACUCAAACUGAUCUGCCCCCAGAUGUGAGGUUCUUUCAUUUUAUACGGGUUUUAUAAACACUUCGAUUCAAUUCGAUUGUCUUUCUUAAGGUCACAAAAGGUUACACAAUACAAGAAAUACAAUAUAAAAAGGUAACCCUGACCCAAGCUACUUCUUAUAUCGUAAAUACUAGUGAAAUAUAUGAAACAUUAUUCGAUUCAAUUCCAACUCAACCCACCCUAUUUGGCUUUAUAAUAAUAUAUACAACCAUAUACAUCCAUGUAUCUAUGGUAUAUAGAAUGACUGGUGGUUUGCCACUUUUUCGCUUUUAAUUACUUAUUGCUCAACCUUAGAAAUACACAAAUUAAUGAAACCACACACACACACCUCAUACCGUUAAACACACGAACCAGCUUAUAUGUAUAUAAAUUUUUAACGAACUUGACAUUUUCCAUUCAAAGGCAUCUAAACAAAAGUAUACGAAUGAAUGGAAAAGUGUAGGUGGCAAGAAGAAGAAGCAAACUAAAAGCAACCGUGCAAAAUACGAGUAGAAUCUCGGUAUACAAAGAGGCAAAACGACGGUGUUGAAAGGUAAUUGUUUGGAAAAUUUUAUGUCCGUAUUUAGUUGGUCUUGUGUGUGUAUCUAUGUAUGUAUGCACCGUGCGGAUGAUGUAAUUGAAUAUUUCUUUUUUGUAAAAGCAGAAAAAUUAAGAAAGCGCAAAAUUGUUGAUGAGCGUGCAUGAGAGCACUGAUGAAGGUGAUUAUGGUGGCAAAAUUGUUUAUUUUACUUAUUUUAUGGUAGAUCAGUUUAUGAGUUAUUGAGAUGAAAUAGGUAUGUAUGAAAGCUGAAUCAAUUGAAAAAACUAGCAGAUUAUUGAUUUUCAAGUUAUUUUUAUUGUUUUUGAAAUUAUUUUUUGUAUUUUAAUUGCAAGAAAUAAGAUUUUACUGGUUAGUUUAAGAUGGCGUGAGAACGCUUAAAGUGAAUAAAGUGUUGGAAAAGUUUGAUUUUGUUCCAGAUUCGAGAUUAAAAUAUAUGAAAUACAAAGCAAAUAUAAAUUGUUAACAAGCCAAAAGUCUCAAUAUCUUCAAAAAAUAGAAAAAACAAGUAAGGAAGGGCUAAGUUCGGGUGUAACCGAACAUUUUAUACUCUCGCAAUUUAUUUAUUUAACUUUAUUUAUAUUAUAUAAUACACAGUUUGACCCGCAUAUUCGUCAUAUAUAUUGUAUAAAGUCCAUUGAAAGUUGGAAACCAUAAUAUUAGGUUAGAAGCACCGAGGUCCUCGUGUUCGAUAUAUGGGGCCUUAAAAACCUAUGGUCCGAUUUCGGCGUUUUUUAGAAUGGGGCUGCCACACUAUUAACAUGGUAUUUGUGCAA